UUUUUACAGGUUCAGGUCCAGAAGCAGGUAUGUAAAAGGGUCAGAAUGGGGGUUUCCUUCAUUUCUGUAUUCUUUUAAUUUUUAAUGCCAUUUAUUUCUAUUCUUUUUGCCUCUUAUUAACCGGAUUUUUGUGACAAAAAUGUCGGUUAUUGAUUUGGGGAUGUACGGGGGGGGGGGGGGCGGCCGGGCAGGAGGGCGGUCAGGCUGUCGGGCGGGCGGGUGGCAAUCAAAUGUUGUCCGUGCAUUAACUCAUGAACCAUUCAACCAAAGCUUUUAAAAUUUUAAUAUGUUAUUACUGACAACUAUACGAAGGUCAAGUAAAAUAAUGGCGAUUUUGACUUUUACCGUUCAGGAGUUAUGGUUCUUAAAAGAUUGAAAAAUGGAGUUUCCAGUCGUGUCCGUGCAUUUACGCAUGAACUGUCCUACCAAAGCUUCCCAAAUUUUAAUAUGUUGUUACUGAUGACAGAAUGGAGGUCAAGUUCAAUAAUGACAAUUUUGACUUUUACCGUUCAGGAGUUAUGGUUCUUGAAAGAUUGAAAAAUGGAGUUUCCAGUCGUGUCCUCGCAUUUUCUCAUGAACCAUUCAACCAAAGCUUUUGAAAUUUUAAUAUGUUGUUACUGGUGACAAAAUAGAGGUCAAGUUCAAUAAUGACGAUUUUGACUUUUACCGUUCAGGAAUUAUGGUUCUUGAAAGAUCGUAAAAUGGCGUUUCCAUUCACGUUGUUGCAUUUACUCAUGAACCAUUCAAUCUAAGCUUUUCAAAUUUUAAUAUGUUGAUACUGAUGACAAAAUGGAGGUCAAAUUUGAUAUUGACGAUUUUCACUUUCACCAUUCAUCAGUAAUGGUUCUUGUGAUAUUGCCAGGACACAAAUAAAUGUUAAUAAAUCCGGUUUGCUGUCGUUGUGACAGCCUCUUGUUCUCCUUUGGUUAUAUUUGAGCACCUCUUUAUUCUCUGGUCUUUAUUUUUUUUGGUAAUUUUUUCUCUAUUCUUUAAUUAUAUUUUGUGCCCACUAUUCUCUCCUUUUUAAACCCCCAUCCACACCAUCAGUCUCAAGGUUAUUCAAUGUGAAAAAUUACAAUAUAAGGGAACUAAAAGAAAGGAUGAAAUAUAGAAAGAAAAAAAAAGGUUGAAAUAUAGAAACAAAAAAAAGGAUGAAAUAUAGAAACAAAAGAAAAGGAUGAAAUAUAAAAACAAAAAAAAGGUUGAAACAUUUGAAGAAAAAAAAAGGAUGACAUAUACUAUAUUUAACAAUGGUCAAAUUCUGUGGAUCAUUUAUUUUUAUAGGUAAUAAUUCGUGGAUUUAAACAAAAAAAAAUCCUGGAUAUUUAAUUUUAUUGGUGUUGCAAAAAUUUUCAGACAAGAUUAUAGAAAAUUUGUACUUCAUUGAACCUUAAAAAUCGUGGAAAAACUGUUUCCACAAAAACUCCAAAACUGGUAUCCCACGAUAGAAGUGAAUCUACAGUAUAAUAGUAUGUCAACUCUAACCUAUAGGAAAUUAAGAUAAUGUGUGAAAAGAAUAUACACAAUAUACAUACUUUUGUUGCAAAAUAUAAAAUCUAUUUGUACGAGGUUUAUAAACAGAACCAAAAGCGAGGCUUGCUGGCUGCUGUUUACAAAUACAUUUUAUAUUCCAGACAAUGUAUAUAUAAUGUUUUUAUCCUGCAAUGUACACCUGGUACUUGAGCUUAAGUUGCUUAAAUUAAAAAAAAUGCCUUUGAUUUUUCAAAGAAAGGAAAAUUUUGAAAUGCAGUAUUCAAAGAGGACAUGAUAAAUGAUCUGUUACCCAGAAAGAAAUAUUCACAUUACCGCUUGCUCGAA
rnacentral:lncRNA from 1 species